AGUGAACGCUGGCGGUAGGCCUAACACAUGCAAGUCGAACGGCAGCACAGAGGAGCUUGCUCCUUGGGUGGCGAGUGGCGGACGGGUGAGGAAUACAUCGGAAUCUACUCUGUCGUGGGGGAUAACGUAGGGAAACUUACGCUAAUACCGCAUACGACCUACGGGUGAAAGCAGGGGACCUUCGGGCCUUGCGCGAUUGAAUGAGCCGAUGUCGGAUUAGCUAGUUGGCGGGGUAAAGGCCCACCAAGGCGACGAUCCGUAGCUGGUCUGAGAGGAUGAUCAGCCACACUGAAACUGAGACACGGUCCAGACUCCUACGGGAGGCAGCAGUGGGGAAUAUUGGACGAUGGGCGCAAGCCUGAUCCAGCCAUACCGCGUGGGUGAAGAAGGCCUUCGGGUUGUAAAGCCCUUUUGUUGGGAAAGAAUUCCAGCUGGCUAAUACCCGGUUGGGAUGACGGUACCCAAAGAAUAAGCACCGGCUAACUUCGUGCCAGCCGCCGCAGUAA
rnacentral:rRNA from 1 species